AUGGCGUCUCCCGCUCCAAUCCCGGCAACGCCGCUCCUCGCCAUCGCCAUCCUCGCCGUGCUCGUCUCCGCCACCACAGCCGGCCCGGCGUGCUCGGAGUCCGACCGGGACGCGCUGCUGUCGAUCCGCGCGGCGCUGUCGGAGGCGCACCUCGGCGUCUUCUCGACGUGGAAGGGCGCGGAUUGCUGCGCCAACUGGUACGGCGUGAGCUGCGACCCCACGAGCGGCCGCGUGGCCGACCUGACCCUCCGCGGCGAAGCCGAGGACGCCGUCAUGGCCCCCGACGGCCACCCCGCCUCGGGCGUCAUGUCCGGCUACAUCUCCGACCACGUCUGCCACCUCGACGCUCUGUCCUCUCUCAUACUCGCCGACUGGAAGCAGAUAUCCGGGCCCAUCCCGUCCUGCGUCGCCACCUCUCUUCCCAACCUCCGUAUCCUCGAGCUUCCCGCCAACCGCCUCACGGGCGAGAUCCCGCCGUCCAUCGGCAGCCUCUCCCGCCUCAUCGUGCUCAACCUCGCCGACAACCUCCUCUCCGGCGCCAUUCCCAGCUCCAUCGCCUCCCUCGCAUCCAUCAAGCACCUCGACCUCGCCAACAACCAGCUCACCGGCAGUAUCCCAGCCAACAUCGGCAACCUCGCCACGCUCAGCCGCGCGGUGCUCAGCCGGAACCGGCUGUCGGGACCCAUCCCUCCGUCCAUCGGGUCCCUCACCCGGCUCGCGGACCUGGACCUCUCCGAGAACCGUCUCACCGGCGCCAUCCCGGACAGCCUCGGGUCGUCGGGCAGCGGCGUGCUCACCUCGCUGCACCUCGGCGGCAACCGCAUCUCCGGGCGGAUCCCGGCAAAGCUGCUGGGGGCGAAGGGGCUCGCGAUCGUGAACCUGAGCCGGAACGCCGUGGAGGGCCCCAUCCCGGACGCGUUCACGGGCAGGUCCUACUUCAUCGUGCUGGACCUGUCGCGGAACCGGCUGACCGGCGGCGUGCCGCGGUCCCUGGCAUCGGCGGCGUACGUGGGGCACCUCGACCUCAGCCACAACCGGCUGUGCGGCACCAUCCCGGCGGGCCCGCCGUUCGACCACCUCGCCGCCGAGUCCUUCGCCAGCAACAGCUGCCUCUGCGGGGCCCCGCUCGGCAAGUGCACGUGA
rnacentral:rRNA from 1 species